GCCUCCGAUAGCCCAAUGGCAGAGGCAGAGGACUUAAAAUCCUCCCAGUGUGGGUUCGACCCCCACUCGGGGCACCA
rnacentral:tRNA from 1 species